AGAGUUUGAUCAUGGCUCAGGAUGAACGCUGGCGGCGUGCCUAACACAUGCAAGUCGAGCGAUCUUCUUCGGAAGAGAGCGGCGGACGGGUGAGUAACGCGUGGGUAACCUGCCUCAUACACAUGGAUAACAUACCGAAAGGUAUGCUAAUACAAGAUGAUAUAAGGGAUUCGCAUGGAUUUCUUAUCAAAGCUCCGGCGGUAUGAGAUGGACCCGCGUCUGAUUAGCUAGUUGGUAAGGUAACGGCUUACCAAGGCGACGAUCAGUAGCCGACCUGAGAGGGUGAUCGGCCACAUUGGAACUGAGACACGGUCCAAACUCCUACGGGAGGCAGCAGUGGGGAAUAUUGCACAAUGGGCGAAAGCCUGAUGCAGCAACGCCGCGUGAGCGAUGAAGGCCUUCGGGUCGUAAAGCUCUGUCCUCAAGGAAGAUAAUGACGGUACUUGAGGAGGAAGCCCCGGCUAACUACGUG
rnacentral:rRNA from 1 species